rnacentral:rRNA from 1 species
CAGUCGCCGCGGGAAUACGUAGGUGGCAAGCGUUGUCCGGAAUUAUUGGGCGUAAAGCGCGCGCAGGCGGAUAGGUCAGUCUGUCUUAAAAGUUCGGGGCUUAACCCCGUGAUGGGAUGGAAACUGCCAAUCUAGAGUAUCGGAGAGGAAAGUGGAAUUCCUAGUGUAGCGGUGAAAUGCGUAGAUAUUAGGAAGAACACCAGUGGCGUAGGCGACUUUCUGGACGAAGACUGACGCCGAGGCGCGAAAGCCAGGGGAGCGAACGGGAUUAGAUACCCCGGUAGUCCCUGUCUCUUAUACA